rnacentral:rRNA from 1 species
UACGUAGGGUGCAAGCGUUGUCCGGAUUUAUUGGGCGUAAAGAGCUCGUAGGCGGCUUGUCGCGUCGUCCGUGAAAACUUGGGGCUCAACCCCAAGCUUGCGGUCGAUACGGGCAGGCUAGAGUUCGGUAGGGGAGACUGGAAUUCCUGGUGUAGCGGUGAAAUGCGCAGAUAUCAGGAGGAACACCGGUGGCGAAGGCGGGUCUCUGGGCAGUAACUGACGCUGAGGAGCGAAAGCGUGGGGAGCGAACAGG